UACGUAGGGGGCAAGCGUUGUCCGGAAUCAUUGGGCGUAAAGAGCGUGUAGGCGGCCCGGUAAGUCCGCUGUGAAAGUCCAGGGCUCAACCCUGGGACGCCGAUGGAAACCGUCUGGCUAGAGUCCGGAAGAGGAGAGUGGAAUUCCUGGUGUAGCGGUGAAAUGCGCAGAUAUCAGGAAGAACACCCGUGGCUAAGGCGGCUCUCUAGUACGGUACUGACGCUGAGACGCGAAAGCGUGGGGAGCGAACAGG
rnacentral:rRNA from 1 species